AAUGAACGCUGGCGGCGCGCCUAAUACAUGCAAGUCGAGCGAGAAGACGUAGCAAUACGUUUGUAAAGCGGCGAACGGGUGAGGAAUACAUGGGUAACCUACCCUCGAGUGGGGAAUAACUAGCCGAAAGGUUAGCUAAUACCGCGUACGCUCCUUGGACUUCGGUUCAGGGAGGAAAGCGAUACCGUGGGUAUCGCGCUCUUGGUUGGGCUCAUGUCCUAUCAGCUUGUUGGUGAGGAACGGCUCACCAAGGCUUCGACGGGUAGCUGGUCUGAGAGGACGAUCAGCCACACUGGCACUGCGAC
rnacentral:rRNA from 1 species